AUUGAACGCUGGCGGCAGGCCUAACACAUGCAAGUCGAGCGGUAGAGAGAAGCUUGCUUCUCUUGAGAGCGGCGGACGGGUGAGUAAUGCCUAGGAAUCUGCCUGAUAGUGGGGGAUAACGUCCGGAAACGGACGCUAAUACCGCAUACGUCCUACGGGAGAAAGUGGGGGCUCUUCGGACCUCACGCUAUCAGAUGAGCCUAGGUCGGAUUAGCUAGUUGGUGGGGUAAAGGCGCACCAAGGCGACGAUCCGUAACUGGUCUGAGAGGAUGAUCAGUCACACUGGAACUGAGACACGGUCCAGACUCCUACGGGAGGCAGCAGUGGGGAAUAUUGGACAAUGGGCGAAAGCCUGAUCUAGCCAUGCCGCGUGUGUGAAGAAGGUCUUCGGAUUGUAAAGCACUUUAAGUUGGGAGGAAGGGUCGUUACCUAAUACGUGGCGAUUUUGACGUUACCGACAGAAUAAGCACCGGCUAACUCUGUGCCAGCCGCCGCUGUAAUAC
rnacentral:rRNA from 1 species